GACGAACGCUGGCGGCGUGCUUAACACAUGCAAGUCGAACGGAAAGGCCCUGCUUUUGUGGGGUGCUCGAGUGGCGAACGGGUGAGUAACACGUGAGUAACCUGCCCUUGACUUUGGGAUAACUUCAGGAAACUGGGGCUAAUACCGGAUAGGAGCUCCUGCUGCAUGGUGGGGGUUGGAAAGUUUCGGCGGUUGGGGAUGGACUCGCGGCUUAUCAGCUUGUUGGUGGGGUAGUGGCUUACCAAGGCUUUGACGGGUAGCCGGCCUGAGAGGGUGAACGGCCACAUUGGGACUGAGAUACGGCCCAGACUCCUACGGGAGGCAGCAGUGGGGAAUAUUGCACAAUGGGCGGAAGCCUGAUGCAGCAACGCCGCGUGCGGGAUGACGGCCUUCGGGUUGUGAACCGCUUUCGCCUGUGACGAAGCGUGAGUGACGGUAAUGGGUAAAGAAGCACCGGCUAACUACGUG
rnacentral:rRNA from 1 species